UGGGCAACUGGGGUGGAAAGUGGCGAAAGGGGCAGUAAUGCAUGGGUAACCUACCCCGAGGACCGGGAUAGCCAUCCUAACGGGUGGGUAAUACUGGGCGAUCUGACGAAGUCGCAUGGUUUUGUCAGCAAAUGAAUUUCGCCUUGGGAGGGGCUCAUGUGGUAUUAGCUUGUUGGUAGGGUAACGGCCUACCAAGGCAAAGAUGCCUAGCGGGUGUGAGAGCACGACCCGCGCCACUGGCACUGAGACACUAGCCAGACUCCUACGGGAGGCUGCAGUCGAGGAUCUUCGGCAAUGGGCGCAAGCCUGACCGAGCGACGCCGCGUGCGCGAUGAAGGCCUUCGGGUUGUAAAGCGCUGUCGAGGGGGAGGAAGCCGAAAGGUUGACCUAUCCCUGGAGGAAGCACGGGCUAAGUUCGUGCCAGCAGCCGCGGUAAGACGAACCGUGCGA
rnacentral:rRNA from 1 species